rnacentral:rRNA from 1 species
CCUACGGGCGGCAGCAGUAGGGAAUAUUGCUCAAUGGGGGAAACCCUGAAGCAGCAACGCCGCGUGGAGGAUGAAGGUUUUCGGAUUGUAAACUCCUUUUGUUAGAGAAGAUAAUGACGGUAUCUAACGAAUAAGCACCGGCUAACUCCGUGCCAGCAGCCGCGGUAAUACGGAGGGUGCAAGCGUUAAUCGGAAUCACUGGGCGUAAAGAGCGCGUAGGCGGGAUAGCAAGUCAGAUGUGAAAUCCUAUGGCUUAACCAUAGAACUGCAUUUGAAACUGUUAUUCUAGAGUAUGGGAGAGGGAGGGUGAAGUCUUGGUGGAGGGGUAAAAUCCGUAGAGAUCCAGAGGAAUACUCAUUGCGAAGGCGAACUGCUAGAACCUAACUGACG